rnacentral:rRNA from 1 species
AGAGUUUGAUCCUGGCUCAGGACGAACGCUGGCGGCGUGCCUAACACAUGCAAGUCGAGCGGAGACAGUGAGUAGCUUGCUAUGAGCUGUUUUAGCGGCGGACGGGUGAGUAACGCGUGAGCAACCUUUCCCAGACAGGGGAAUAACACACCGAAAGGUGUACUAAUACCGCAUAAGACCACGGUUUCACAUGGAACUGAGGUAAAAGAUUUAUCGGUUUGGGGUGGGCUCGCGUCCGAUUAGGUAGUUGGUGAGGUAACGGCCCACCAAGCCGACGAUCGGUAGCCGACCUGAGAGGGUGAUCGGCCACAUUGGGACUGAGACACGGCCCAAACUCCUACGGGAGGCAGCAGUGGGGAAUAUUGGGCAAUGGGGGAAACCCUGACCCAGCAACGCCGCGUGGAGGAAGAAGGUUUUCGGAUCGUAAACUCCUGUCCUUGGAGACGAGUAGAAGACGGUAUCCAAGGAGGAAGCCCCGGCUAACUACGUGCCAGCAGCCGCGGUAAUACGUAGGGGGCAAGCGUUGUCCGGAAUAAUUGGGCGUAAAGGGCGCGUAGGCGGCUCGGUAAGUCUGGAGUGAAAGUCCUGCUUUUAAGGUGGGAAUUGCUUUGGAUACUGUCGGGCUUGAGUGCAGGAGAGGUUAGUGGAAUUCCCAGUGUAGCGGUGAAAUGCGUAGAGAUUGGGAGGAACACCAGUGGCGAAGGCGACUAACUGGACUGUAACUGACGCUGAGGCGCGAAAGUGUGGGGAGCAAACAGGAUUAGAUACCCUGGUAGUCCACACUGUAAACGAUGAAUGCUAGGUGUAGGGGGUAUCGACCCCUUCUGUGCCGCAGUCAACACAAUAAGCAUUCCGCCUGGGGAGUACGGCCGCAAGGUUGAAACUCAAAGGAAUUGACGGGGGCCCGCACAAGCAGCGGAGCAUGUGGUUUAAUU